ensembl:lncRNA
CUCUAGAAUAUCAUGAUUUAUGUAAAUUUACCUCAAUAAUAUGAAUGUUCAGGUUAAGAUUGUGCAGUGAUAUUUAUAAUGUAAGUUUAGCUGAUUAAAGUUUAUGACUCUGCACUAAAAUAUUAUUUAAAUUGACAUCAUUAUUAUAAUAUUUAGGGUCAGACCCUACAGUAUUGAGAUUAAGAAAUCAAAUAUUCUAUAAAAUGUAAAUACACUGAACUCAUUUGGAUAUAUUUAAGUGAGACUCUACAAUAUUAUUUGACAAAUCUAUCUAAAUCAAAAUUUUAAUCAUUUUUACUCGAAACAUUUACUGAUCUGAUUUAAAUAUUAAAAUCACUCCUUUCUAAUCCUCUGCUGUACAUUCAAACCUGAGGCCUUAAAUAGAAACACACAAGUAUCUGAUUGAAGGAACUUCUGCAGAGUCCUGGUUCCAGAACAUGAUGAUAGAAUUAUAGACAAACUUUAACAAAAGCUGCCUGAGAGUUUACAGGUUUUUAUGUUGGAUUUCUUCAGUAAUUUAAUGAGAGUUAUCGGCAAAAAUCAAGUGUUCAUUUGAUGAACUUCAUUUCCUGAAACAUCCAGAAUUGGAGCUCAUAUCUUUGGCAGCUGUAAAGUUUCUGCUCCUUCAAAGUUCACAACACAAUGAAUUAAUUCCUAAAACCCUCUCAAUGCUGGAGAGCGUUUGUGACGCUGAAGCAGUGAUCAGUUUUUCUGUUUCUUCUCUGGAGCUGCACAAUGAGGGACGUCUGCAGCGACUGAGAAAGAGUCUCACCACAUCCUGACAUGAGGAAAAAGACUUUAUUGAAGACUAUAAUGAGGAAAACUAUCAGACAGCAGAUGGCUGCAUUCAAGUUUUGAACUGUUUUGUUGUCUGGGAGUGGGUGCUCUGUGUUUGUGUGCAUCUUUGUCUCGUCCU